CAUUCACACAGUCAGGUCAGGAUAUUCACCAGAGGUACUUGGAAUGCUGUUGUAACUAUCUUGACAGUGGACUAGAUAGAACUAACUGUAAACACUCAAAUCCGUAGUUCUUCCCUAUGGGGGCUUUGAGUAAAGCCAGAGAAUCAUCAGUCAGUGAGAUUGUUUUGUGUUCACAGUGGAAUGGAGCACCUCAGCCAGCUUCAAACGCAUCCUUGGCUCAGCCCAAGUUACACAGACCAAGAAUCCAUCCCACACUAUCAAGGGGCUCACAGCAAACAGAUGCCCCCGAAGUAGAUGUCCCCAUGUUUCUUUAUCAUUUGGAUGAAAUCUCGAUCUCUGGGUGACUGGAUGCUGUACAGGAGGAGGUAAAGACAAAGUGUGUGCAGAUGCAAGAAUACAAGGCCAAAGCUCCUCCAAAGUUGAAGCUAACUGACACGGGUGUGUGUAUUUGAACACAGUAAGAGCCG